GGCUGUAGCUCAGUGGUACAGCGUGUGCCUAGCAUGAGUGAGGCCCUGGGUUCGAUCCUCAGCGCCA
rnacentral:tRNA from 1 species